rnacentral:lncRNA from 1 species
CACAGCAGAAGUGCAGUUAUUGUUUAUUUAUUCUACAGCUAAAGCCCCUUAAUAUGCAUAAGACUUUGCAGACAAAUCGGACAGGUCUGUGCCUGAGGAAUUUGCCUUCUGAGCAAGACGGAGCACAGCAAAAGGAAGCAAACCAAAAGAAGUGUUGGUACAUAUGCAGAGCAGGGAGGCAGUAGGAGGCGGAAAGAGCCACAGGAGAGGUCAGGGUCAAAGGUAUCACCAGAGCCCUCCCAGGGUAUGCACUUACCUUCCAGUAAGGCAGGCCCUUCUAGUGUUGCUGUGGAGAGGAAAAGCUUCGUGUUUCAUCUAUGAGGUGUGACCUGUCUGCUUACAACUUCAGUACGCUCUGGUCCCGUGUGAAGACCCAGGGGCUGACAGAGGUUCUUUAGCUGCAGCACCCCAGUGAAUCACUGCUAUGGAAACAGCCAGGAAUUCUGUGUAUGACAUCUGGAGAUCUUCCAAAGAGCUGCUCCCAGAUGGCAGCUCCCACCUCUGGCCACUGGUACCCUGGAUCCCUGUUCAUCACCCUUCUUCUCAUUGCUGCCUGCCCUCAGGAGAGAAGCCUUUCCAACUGGUGAUCAGCCUGCUGCAACCACAGACCCUCUUAGCUGAUGCUGAUUUUUCUUUGGCCAUUUCUGACAAUUUCUGGAGGGAGUUUGAUAGGGCUGUCCCGGUGCCGUGAGAAAGCCCUGCAGAAUCUGUGGUUGCCCUGUGCUGCAACAUCACCUUUAUGUGACCUCACCUGCACCUUCUGGUUCCUAAGGGUGACAUUCAGUGCCAGAAGCCCCAUUGCUCUGGGAUGCAGUCAGCUCACAAUAACUGAGAAUAGCUAUGAUUUUGGCUGUGGACCUUCCCCCUUUCCCCCUAGACGUAUUAAAGAGUCAUGCCAGGCUGCUGUCAAGUGUUCCUGUCUCCUUUAAGUUAAUGUUCCAGUUUGUAUAAUUUCAUGAUAAAGUCAGACUGUGGCAGCUUCAGUGUUAAAUGAGAUGAAGAUAGGAAUGUAUUCAUCUUAUUAGUCUGGAACAAAUUCAGACUUCCCUACUCCCUAAUUCCCAGUAUAUUCAGUAAUAAAGUGUGGCUCAUAAACA